GAGGAUGAUCAGCCACACUGGAACUGACACACGGUCCAGACUCCUACGGGAGGCAGCAGUGAGGAAUUUUGCGCAAUGGGGGAAACCCUGACGCAGCAACGCCGCGUGAGUGAUGAAGGCUUUCGGGUCGUAAAGCUCUGUCAAGUGGGAAGAAACCACGAGGUGAUAAUAUCGCUUUGUGCUGACGGUACCACUGAAGGAAGCACCGGCUAACUCCGUGCCAGCAGCCGCGGUAAUACGGGGGGUGCAAGCGUUAUUCGGAAUCAUUGGGCGUAAAGGGCGCGUAGGCGGUUUGUUAAGUCAGAUGUGAAAGCCCGGGGCUCAACCCCGGAAGUGCAUUUGAUACUGGCGGACUUGAGUAUGGGAGAGGGAAGUGGAAUUCCUGGUGUAGAGGUGAAAUUCGUAGAUAUCAGGAGGAACACCGGUGGCGAAGGCGACUUCCUGGACCAAUACUGACGCUGAGGCGCGAAGGCGUGGGUAGCAAACAGGAUUAGAUCCCCUGGUAGUCCACGCAGUAAACGGUGAUCACUAGGUGUAGCGGGUAUUGACCCCUGCUGUGCCGCAGUUAACGCAUUAAGUGAUCCGCCUGGGGAGUACGGCCGCAAGGUUAAAACUCAAAGGAAUUGACGGGGGCCCGCACAAGCGGUGGAGCAUGUGGUUUAAUUCGACGCAACGCGAAGAACCUUACCUGGGUUUGACAUCUCGGGGAUUUUUUGGAAACAAGAAAGUGCCCUUCGGGGAGCCCGAAGACAGGUGCUGCAUGGCUGUCGUCAGCUCGUGUCGUGAGAUGUUGGGUUAAGUCCCGCAACGAGCGCAACCCUUAUCUUUAGUUACCAUCACUUCGGGUGGGGACUCUAGAGAUACUGCCCCGGUCAACGGGGAGGAAGGUGGGGAUGACGUCAAGUCCUCAUGGCCUUUAUGCCCAGGGCUACACACGUGCUACAAUGGGCGAUACAAAGGGUAGCGAGCCUGCGAAGGUGAGCCAAUCCCAAAAAGUCGUUCUUAGUUCGGAUUGGAGUCUGCAACUCGACUCCAUGAAGCUGGAAUCGCUAGUAAUCGCGGAUCAGCACGCCGCGGUGAAUACGUUCCCGGGCCUUGUACACACCGCCCGUCACACCAUGAGAGUUGGUUGUACCAGAAGUUGUUGGGCUAACCCGCAAGGGAGGCAGGCACCUAAGGUAUGGCUGAUGAUUGGGGUGAAGUCGUAACAAGGUA
rnacentral:rRNA from 1 species